GAUGAACGCUGGCGGCGUGCUUAACACAUGCAAGUCGAACGGUGAAGGCGGUGCUUGCUCUCCUGGAUCAGUGGCAAACGGGUGAGUAACACGUGAGCAAUCUGCCCCUGACUCUGGGAUACGCGCUGGAAACGGCGUCUAAUACUGGAUACGAGCUGAGCAGGCAUCUUCAGCAGCUGGAAAGAACUACGGUCAGGGAUGAGCUCGCGGCCUACAAGCCGGUUGUUGAGGUAACGGCUGACCAAGGCGUCGACGGGUAGCAGGCCUGAGAGGGUGACCGGCCGCAAUGGGGCUGAGAAACGGCGCAGACUACUACUGGAGGAAGCAGUGGGGAAUAUUGCACCGUGGGCGGAGGCAUGAUGCAGCAGCGCCGCGUGGGGGACGACGGCCGUCGGGUUGUAGAGCACUGUUAGCCGGGAAGAAGCGAAAGUGACGGUAUCUGCAGAAAAAGCGCCGGCUAACUACGUG
rnacentral:rRNA from 1 species